GCAGUACUGAAAGUGUUCCGGCAAUGGUGCAAUGUUGGGAAACCAUCCGGUCAGCUGAUUGCUCAUCAGUCUAAAAAGUGAAGGAAUCGGAGCGUUGUGCUGACUCUUGUCUCUGGGCAGCAUCAAGUCAACAUCACUGGAAGAACUCUACAGUUGAGAGAAAAUGGAUGGGAUUUUUUACGAAGAUUACAGCAACUACACCUAUGAGGAAAGCUUCAACCCACACGAAGAGCUGGUUUAUCACCACAAAUCCACCUGUACCAGCGACGCCCUUUGCGUGUCUCUGCUAGUGGUCACCGCCGUCAUUUUCGUAUUGGGCUUCUGCGGGAACGCCGUGGUCAUUUGGAUCUCCGGCUUCAAGAUGAAGAAGACGGUCAACACCACGUGGUACCUGAGCCUGGCCAUCUCCGACUUUGUCUUCUGCACCUUCCUGCCCUUCAUCAUCACUCAAAUGGCCAUGGAGAAGUGGAUCUUUGGACUCUUCCUAUGCAAGUUUGCCUCGUCCGUGUUGUUCCUUAACAUGUUCAGCAGCAUCUUCCUCCUAGUCAUCAUCAGCGCCGACCGCUGCGUGUCUGUCAUAUUUCCCGUCUGGGCUCAGAAUCACCGCACGGUACGAAAGGCAUCAGUUGUGGUGAUCCUGGCCUGGGUUCUCGCCAUUGCGCUGAGUCUUCCCUCCGCUGUCUUCCGGGAAGUUCAGAAUCAGAUGGGCAGGAGCAUCUGCUACAACAACUACACACUAAAUCCACACAGUCACAAAAUAAUUGUAACUAGCCGCUUCCUGGCAGGCUUUGUGGUGCCUUUUGUUGUCAUCAGUAUCUGCUACUUGGUCAUCAUCGCCAAGCUUCGCAACAACAGAAUGACCAAAUCCUCCAAACCCUUCAAAGUCAUGACCGCGCUCAUCGCUACUUUCUUCAUCUGUUGGCUGCCCUACCACGUCUUUAUUCUUCUCGAGCUCAACCACCACAACUACAACCAUGGCCUCUUAACUGCUGGACUACAAGUGGGUACAUGCCUGGCGGCGGCCAACAGUUUCCUCAACCCGGUGCUCUAUGUGUUCAUGGGUAAUGACUUCCAGCAGAGGUUUAAGAGCUCCUUGUUGUCAAAGAUGGAGAACGCCAUGGGAGACGAAGGGCGUACCACUAGCCGGUAUUUGUCCAGGUCCAGCUCCGCAGACAAUGGCAGGGCAUCCACACACAUCUAAAAAAAAAACCUCUCUCGACAGUGGCAAUUCCUCUAAGACUGCAAGGGAAGCUUAGCUCAGUGAGCUGAAACUUUACUAUGGAUCAGAGCGCGGUCAAGCAGACAUGGAUCCCAACCGAAUGUCAACCAGCAGGUUUCGGUGAGAAAAUUGUGGUUAAAAAGUCACCACUUACCGGAUUACAGCUGAGCUUGUGCCGUCCGUACAGCUGCCAUCGACUCCCCUGAGAUAUUGGUGUCAACACACCCGUGGACAAAUCCCUCCGACUAUCAGCACAUUAUUUAGCUGUGGAGAGGGGCGUGGUCUACGCGUUCCCUGCGGGCGGGGCAUGUGCAGGGACCGGCCAUGAAGCAGCAGACAGGUGAGUGGAUACCUCAGCUGGAACGAGUUAUCUAAUCAGCUGUUCCCUUUAUCAGCAGCGUUGCAGAUCAUGACUGGGCUGGCAAACGAGAGUGAGGGCCAGACGAGGGAACAGACGGAUAAAACUACAUGCAUAAGCUGAAACGCUUAAGAGAACUUUGUCCAUUCUCUUUAUGGGAGAAGCUGAAUUAAAAGAUUGGAACCACUGCUCCAGGGUGUGGUAUUUCCUGCCAAGCAACGGAGGAUCUGGGUCGGAGACCUUCCACAAUAGCAUGGGUCACUGGUGAACUAUCCCAACUGACUUGGAGAACUGCUGACGAGAGUCAGGGUAAAUGGGUUAUACCUGUAUAGCAUGAAUUGAAUUGAUUAACGUGGUAAACAAGUUGAAAACUUAUUUGGGUGUUACCAUUUAGUGGUCAAUUGUACGGAAUAUGUACUGAACUGUGCAAUCUACUAAUAAAAGUAUCAAUCAAUCAAUCAAA